ensembl:snRNA
GUGUUGUAUGAAAGGAGAUAAGGUUAGCAUUCCCACUGACAAGGAUGGAAGAGGCCCUUGGAGAUGAAAAAAUGCAAACAUUUAAGGCAUUGCUGCCAACUUCAUGGCAUCAAAACAUUUUUA